CAAGCGGUGGAGCAUGUGGUUUAAUUCGAUGCAACGCGAAGAACCUUACCUGGUCUUGACAUCCACGGAAGUUUUCAAAGAUGAAAAUGUGCCUUCGGGAACCGUGAGACAGGUGCUGCAUGGCUGUCGUCAGCUCGUGUUGUGAAAUGUUGGGUUAAGUCCCGCAACGAGCGCAACCCUUAUCCUUUGUUGCCAGCGGUCCGGCCGGGAACUCAAAGGAGACUGCCAGUGAUAAACUGGAGGAAGGUGGGGAUGACGUCAAGUCAUCAUGGCCCUUACGACCAGGGCUACACACGUGCUACAAUGGCGCAUACAAAGAGAAGCGACCUCGCGAGAGCAAGCGGACCUCAUAAAGUGCGUCGUAGUCCGGAUUGGAGUCUGCAACUCGACUCCAUGAAGUCGGAAUCGCUAGUAAUCGUGGAUCAGAAUGCCACGGUGAAUACGUUCCCGGGCCUUGUACACACC
rnacentral:rRNA from 1 species